rnacentral:rRNA from 1 species
UACGUAGGGGGCCAGCGUUGUCCGGAUUCAUUGGGCGUAAAGCGCGUGUAGGCGGCCGUACAGGUCCGGUGUGAAAACUCGAGGCUCAACCUCGAGAGGUCAUCGGAAACCGUACGGCUAGAGUCCGGAAGAGGAGAGUGGAAUUCCUGGUGUAGCGGUGAAAUUCGUAGAUAUUAGGAAGAACACCAGUGGCGAAGGCGGCUCACUGGCCCGGUACUGACGCUCAUGUGCGAAAGCGUGGGGAGCAAACAGG